rnacentral:rRNA from 1 species
GACGAACGCUGGCGGCGUGCUUAACACAUGCAAGUCGAACGGAAAGGCCCUGCUUUUGUGGGGUGCUCGAGUAGCGAACGGGUGAGUAACACGUGAGUAACCUGCCCUUGACUUUGGGAUAACUUCAGGAAACUGGGGCUAAUACCGGAUAGGAGCUCCUGCUGCAUGGUGGGGGUUGGAAAGUUUCGGCGGUUGGGGAUGGACUCGCGGCUUAUCAGCUUGUUGGUGGGGUAGUGGCUUACCAAGGCUUUGACGGGUAGCCGGCCUGAGAGGGUGACCGGCCACAUUGGGACUGAGAUACGGCCCAGACUCCUACGGGAGGCAGCAGUGGGGAAUAUUGCACAAUGGGCGGAAGCCUGAUGCAGCAACGCCGCGUGCGGGAUGACGGCCUUCGGGUUGUAAACCGCUUUCGCCUGUGACGAAGCGUGAGUGACGGUAAUGGGUAAAGAAGCACCGGCUAACUACGUGCCAGCAGCCGCGGUGAUACGUAGGGUGCGAGCGUUGUCCGGAUUUAUUGGGCGUAAAGGGCUCGUAGGUGGUUGAUCGCGUCGGAAGUGUAAUCUUGGGGCUUAACCCUGAGCGUGCUUUCGAUACGGGUUGACUUGAGGAAGGUAGGGGAGAAUGGAAUUCCUGGUGGAGCGGUGGAAUGCGCAGAUAUCAGGAGGAACACCAGUGGCGAAGGCGGUUCUCUGGGCCUUUCCUGACGCUGAGGAGCGAAAGCGUGGGGAGCGAACAGGCUUAGAUACCCUGGUAGUCCACGCUGUAAACGGUGGGUACUAGGUGUGGGGUCCAUUCCACGGGUUCCGUGCCGUAGCUAACGCUUUAAGUACCCCGCCUGGGGAGUACGGCCGCAAGGCUAAAACUCAAAGGAAUUGACGGGGCCCCGCACAAGCGGCGGAGCAUGCGGAUUAAUUCGAUGCAACGCGUAGAACCUUACCUGGGUUUGACAUGGAUCGGGAGUGCUCAGAGAUGGGUGUGCCUCUUUUGGGGUCGGUUCACAGGUGGUGCAUGGCUGUCGUCAGCUCGUAUCGUGAGAUGUUGGGUUAAGUCCCGCAACGAGCGCAACCCUUGUUCACUGUUGCCAGCACGUUAUGGUGGGGACUCAGUGGAGACCGCCGGGGUCAACUCGGAGGAAGGUGGGGAUGACGUCAAGUCAUCAUGCCCCUUAUGUCCAGGGCUUCACGCAUGCUACAAUGGCUGGUACAGAGAGUGGCGAGCCUGUGAGGGUGAGCGAAUCUCGGAAAGCCGGUCUCAGUUCAGAUUGGGGUCUGCAACUCGACCUCAUGAAGUCGGAGUCGCUAGUAAUCGCAGAUCAGCAACGCUGCGGUGAAUACGUUCCCGGG